GCCUCUUGGCCCUACAUUUAGAGUAGAGGAAAGGAUGUACCAUGUCUGGCAGGGAGUGAGGUUGGUGGCUGGUCCGCCUGCUCCUGGCCCAGCCUUGCAGAGGUGGCUGGUUGCUCUUUGAGCCAGCCUGGCUUUGCCUGGCGUGCACACAGCUCAGUGCAACUACUCUGCUACAAAUGUAGCCACAGAGAGGAAACGAGCAGCAGGCUCAGGAGCAGGUUGUGCAUUGCCUUUGGGGCUCUAGUCCAUGCCUCAGGGGUCGUGUAGCACUGCGGGCUUCUUGGUUGCCUAGAGGCAGACCACAGGCCAUCUUGAGGAGGACUUUAUGUUCAGGUGCAGAACGCAGCCAGGAUUACCAUCCAGGGGGGCCUUCUGUAGCCCUGGCCAGACCUUGCAGAGGUGGCUGGUUGCUCUUUGAGCGAGCUCGGCCUCCCUGGCAUGCACAGGCCCCAGGUACUAACACGCUGCUCUGAGUGAGCUUGUCCUGCCUUGGCUGCCACCUAACUGCUGAUGGAGCAGUGGCCUUAGGAAAAGCAGAUGGUGCUGUAGCCCACCUUUAGGGUAGAAGAAGUGAUGUACCAUGUCCGGCCGCUAGAUGGUGACUGGUGCACCUGCUCCAGGCAUACCCUUGCAGAGGUGGGUGGUUGCUGUUUGAGCCAGCUUGGCCUUGCCCGGCAUGCACAAGCUUCAGUGCAACAACUGUCCUACAAAUGGAGCCACAGAGAGGAAACAAGCAGCAAGCUCAGGAGCAGGGUGUGCACUGCCUUUGGGGCUCCAGUCCAUGCCUCGGAUCGUAUGGUACUGCAGGCUUCUUGGUUGCCAAGAGGCGGACCACAGGCCUUCUUGAGGAGGACUUUACGUUCAAGUGCAGAAAGCAGCCAAAAUUACCAUCCAUGGGACUGAGCCUUCUGUGGCCCUGGCGAGACUUAAAAUUUGUGCCAAGGCAGGACAAGCUCACUCGGAGCAGCGUGUCACCAGCUUGGCCUUGGCCAGCAUGCCCAAGCUUCAGUGCAACAACUGUGCUACAAAUGGAGCCAUAUAGAAACGAGCAGCAGGCUCAGGAGCAGGGUGUGCACUGCCUUUGGGGCUCCAGUCCAUGCCUCGGGCAUCAUAUGUCACUGUGGGCUUCUUGGACCUACCUUUAGAGUAGAAGAACGGAUGUACCAUGUCCUGAAGCAAGUGAGGUUGGUGACUGGUCCACCUUCUCCUGGCCCAGCCUUGCAGAGGUGGCUGGUUGCUCUUUGAGCCAGCCUGGCCUUGCCCAGCAUGCGCAAAGCUCAGUGCAACUACUCUGCUACAAAUGUAGCCACAGAGAGGAAACGAGCAGCAGGCUCAGGAGCAGGUUGUGCAUUGCCUUUGGGGCUCUAGUCCAUGCCUCAGGGGUCGGAUAGCACUGCGGGCUUCUUGGUUGCCUAGAGGCAGACCACAGGCCAUCUUGAGGAGGACUUUAUGUUCAAGUGCAGAAAGCAGCCA
rnacentral:lncRNA from 1 species